rnacentral:lncRNA from 1 species
GUGUGAGGCAAUGCAAUUAAACUUUUCAUUUACUUUCAUUUUAAAUGACGCGGACCUUGCAGAAGACACCUAUUGGCUUACUAUUUCCUAAUUACUUUAUAUUGCUAUAAAUAGCAUAACCAUAAUGGAUAUUAACAGCAAAAGUUAUUCUAUUGUCACAAUCUAAUAACUACCCAAAACAUUUCAUCGAACGCGGUUUUGAUCUCAUGAAUAUUAUUGACGGCUAGCCUCAUGAAUAUUAACGCCGGCUAGAUCCACACUAGUUAGAA